UUUAGCUGACCCACUGCCAAAUGUUUGACUAGGAAAAUAAUUCUUCUAGCCCAUUAGUUUUGACCCUAAUGAGAUGAUUAAAGGUGGAAUGUUUGCUGUUGUGAAUUUUUUAAUAUUACUAGUACAUGUAAUUUUGAGAUUACAUAGUUAUUGCAUCAUUCUUUUUUCUAGUAUCUAGUAGUGUUAAUUGUUGGUUUCUUUGCACAUGUUUUCUGAUUUCCAGACAUUCUAAUAUUUUAUUGCCUGUUAUUGCCCUUAGGUAGUUUUAUUGUUCAAUAGUUUCUUAGUUUGAUCUAGUCACCGUUUCUAUGGCUUGGGCCUUAUGAGAUUACUUCCGCUGUAGUACAUGUAGUACCGUUUUUAUUAACAUGUUAGCAAGGACAAUCUUUCCCGCAAAAAAAGGAUAACUGGAGUGGGUUGUUUGUUAGAAUGAUGUCAUGUCUCCUCUAGAUGAAGUCUCUUAAGUCAUACACUUAAUAAAUUUAUAUUUUAGUGAAGAAUAUUUUAAAAAUGAUUAUUAAAUCCUCUGGAGAUUGCAUCUCACAGCCUCUUUAAAAUCAAAAAUGUCAUAAUCCAUAUAUACAGCAUAAUAAACAAAGAGAAUAUUUUUAUUUCGUAAAGAUAACCGUGUACAAUACAGAGAUUUACAGUUCAUUUAACGCUCUGGUGUACUGCUUCAUUUAACAUAUUCCCAUUUCUGAAGUUUUCUAUAGAAUUUGUUAUAUUUCAUGGGUUGGGGUUUUGUUGUUGAAGGGUGUGUAUCUGAUAUUCAGAUUUAUACAAAGGACCAAAAUUAUUUGUUUUUUAUAUUUAUAUUGCUGAAAUAUUUAUUACAUGUUGAUAAUAUUUUUAUCAUGUAUUUAUACAUUUGUAAAAAUUUCUGCUUUUGUUAAAUUUUUUGGUAUAUUGUUUUAUGAGUUAAGAAAAUAAA
rnacentral:sRNA from 1 species